rnacentral:rRNA from 1 species
CAGCCGCCGCGGUAAAACGGAGGGUGCAAGCGUUAAUCGGAAUUACUGGGCGUAAAGCGCACGCAGGCGGUCUGUCAAGUCAGAUGUGAAAUCCCCGGGCUUAACCUGGGAACUGCAUUUGAAACUGGCAGGCUAGAGUCUUGUAGAGGGGGGUAGAAUUCCAGGUGUAGCGGUGAAAUGCGUAGAGAUCUGGAGGAAUACCGGUGGCGAAGGCGGCCCCCUGGACAAAGACUGACGCUCAGGUGCGAAAGCGUGGGGAGCAAACAGGAUUAGAGACCCCAGUAGUCCCUGUCUCUUAUAC